CAUGCAGCAGGAGCAACGCACGUGCAAAUGCGAGCCCACAGUAAGCCGCCAUUGCCUUUCUCUUAGCCCAAUCGCCCUCUCUGCACAUAUUUUGUAUGUGUGUCCUUGCAAAACGAUCCAUAUCCCGCAUAAGUGGGAUACUUUGCUCAGCUUGCUCCACUAUUGAAGUACUUUGUUGUAAACACGUUUCUACAUAAUAAUUGUUAAUACCUUAACUUUGAUGUGAAGGUUUGCAUUAUUGUUGUCGGACCUGAAUUACAUGAAAGACUUCAACAAGGGAUGUUUUCCCUUUCACGUGAUUGUCUUGCUGCCUUCCUCCUGCCUUUCAGUUCCAUGCAUGUACGCAGCUCCAAGAUCCAAAGGCGUGCGAUUGUCACGGCAAACGCGAGUAGCAAGGAUGACAAGGCGGAGGAGGGAGGGAGAGUGUUCAACCCAUCCAGGUUGCGACCAACCAAUCUCCGUUAAUAUCAUUCAUGUUGGUGCUGCCACUCUCCACGGAGGUGCCGGUCGGCCGGCACAUACGUCAGUUCAUGAAUGCCAGGCGCUGCUCUUUUUUGUGAGGACUGUGGUCAGCAGCGCUGCUUACCACGUUGAUGAUUGUAGAAGCAACACCCAAAAGGAGUGACAUCACAAAGAUGGAGGACGACAUCGAGCUGAGCAACACGAGCCACAUUGAAGCCUGUGGCCAAGAAAGUUCUUAUCAAGUCCGCCGCUCGCCUUGAGCAGCGCACAAAGAACGCUACCGACUUCGAUGAGCAUAGAUGUCGUUAGAGGAUGUUGUCGGUGGCUCUGCCCUCAAGAUCUGUAGGAAGGUCAUCAACAAGCUCACCUCUAUGCUCAACCAUUGCCUCAAGCUGAUUUCAGUGCCUUGAGCUUUUCUUGCAUUUGUGAAUGGUGUAACAUCUGCGGGAUGAUAUCAACAAGUUCAACGUCAAAAAUGAGCUCAACAUUGUAGAGCGUUUACUACAUCAUGGUCAUAUACAAGUAUUAGAUGGCAUCAUAUGUAACUACAACCUUCCUCUUCAGCAUGUCUUUUAUUUUGCGGGUAUCAUGUCUUUUAUUUGGCAGGUAGCAUUUAUGUUGAAGACGAUUCUUUAAUCCUUUCUGAGGUGAAAUACAAGCAUGUAGCCUACCUCCCUUAAUUAUUGUAUGAUGGAGUUUUUGUUGAUACAGAGCAAUAUUCAUGUGAGGCCUCACUAAUGUAAACUAAAGAAAAACUAUUUAGUAGGCAUAUUUCAUUUCUUAAUGGGCGAGUAUUUUACAAGUCACGAUGCUUAGUUUAUGUCUGACCAUACUGUGAACACAUAAUAGCAUUGAGUAGCGGGGUGAGGUGGUGGGCGCAGUCGCAGGCGCAUGGCAGAGAGAGGCAGAGAUGGGAUUGGAUGUGAUGGCUGAUAAUGCUGAUGCAGUUGCUGUCCAUUUUGAGAUGAAGAAGCGUUGUUAAUGUCAUUUUAUAAAAUAUAGAAAAUUUGGAUAUAUCAGUUAAAAUA